UUGUUUUUGUUCCGACUUUUUUGUGGGUUUCUCAGACAUUUGUCACCUUUUUGUAAAUUUGUUGCUUUUUCUGACAUUUUUGUACGCUUUUUGUUGACAUAAAGCCCUACAACAGUCAUCAAAAGAGUUCCUUAGCAAUCAUAGAAUUUAGCAAAUCAAGCAAAAAAAUGAUACAACCUGUUUCACAGCCUGAAUAUGAAAACUCUCUGCUUCUUCUGGGGGAAUUUCUAAGUCUCAGAGUCGGAUAAUCUGCCAUAUUCUGCUUUGAAUGUCACGCAAUUGCAGUUUAAAAAACACUUUUUUGUGGCUAUUGUGAACCCAAAUUGAUAUACGGGCCAGAUCUAAAUCUGCAAGGGGCCGGAUUUGGCCCGUGGGCCUUGAGUUUGACACGUGUGUUCAGGCAGGUCCGUC